rnacentral:rRNA from 1 species
CGCCAUGCCGCGUGUGUGAAGAAGGCCUUCGGGUUGUAAAGCACUUUCAGUCGUGAGGAAGGUAGUGUAGUUAAUAGCUGCAUUACUUGACGUUAGCGACAGAAGAAGCACCGGCUAACUCCGUGCCAGCAGCCGCGGUAAUACGGAGGGUGCGAGCGUUAAUCGGAAUUACUGGGCGUAAAGCGCAUGCAGGUGGUUUGUUAAGUCAGAUGUGAAAGCCCGGGGCUCAACCUCGGAAUAGCAUUUGAAACUGGCAGACUAGAGUACUGUAGAGGGGGGUAGAAUUUCAGGUGUAGCGGUGAAAUGCGUAGAGAUCUGAAGGAAUACCGGUGGCGAAGGCGGCCCCCUGGACAGAUACUGACACUCAGAUGCGAAAGCGUGGGGAGCAAACAGGAUUAGAUACCCUGGUAGUCCACGCCGUAAACGAUGUCUACUUGGAGGUUGUGGCCUUGAGCCGUGGCUUUCGGAGCUAACGCGUUAAGUAGACCGCCUGGGGAGUACGGUCGCAAGAUUAAAACUCAAAUGAAUUGACGGGGGCCCGCACAAGCGGUGGAGCAUGUGGUUUAAUUCGAUGCAACGCGAAGAACCUUACCUACUCUUGACAUCCAGAGAACUUUCCAGAGAUGGAUUGGUGCCUUCGGGAACUCUGAGACAGGUGCUGCAUGGCUGUCGUCAGCUCGUGUUGUGAAAUGUUGGGUUAAGUCCCGCAACGAGCGCAACCCUUAUCCUUGUUUGCCAGCGAGUAAUGUCGGGAACUCCAGGGAGACUGCCGGUGAUAAACCGGAGGAAGGUGGGGACGACGUCAAGUCAUCAUGGCCCUUACGAGUAGGGCUACACACGUGCUACAAUGGCGCAUACAGAGGGCAGCAAGCUAGCGAUAGUGAGCGAAUCCCAAAAAGUGCGUCGUAGUCCGGAUUGGAGUCUGCAACUCGACUCCAUGAAGUCGGAAUCGCUAGUAAUCGUGGAUCAGAAUGCCACGGUGAAUACGUUCCCGGGCCUUGUACACACCGCCCGUCACACCAUGGGAGUGGGCUGCAAAAGAAGUAGGUAGUUUAACCUUCGGGAGGACGCUUACCACUUUGUGGUCAUGACUGGGUGAUCGU